rnacentral:rRNA from 2 species
UAGGGAAUCUUCCGCAAUGGGCGAAAGCUUGACGGAGCAACGCCACGUGAGUGAUGAAGGUCUUCGGAUCGUAAAACUCUGUUAUUAGGGAAGAACAAAUGUGUAAGUAACUAUGCACGUCUUGACGGUACCUAAUCAGAAAGCCACGGCUAACUACGUGCCAGCAGCCGCGGUAAUACGUAGGUGGCAAGCGUUAUCCGGAAUUAUUGGGCGUAAAGCGCGCGUAGGCGGUUUUUUAAGUCUGAUGUGAAAGCCCACGGCUCAACCGUGGAGGGUCAUUGGAAACUGGAAAACUUGAGUGCAGAAGAGGAAAGUGGAAUUCCAUGUGUAGCGGUGAAAUGCGCAGAGAUAUGGAGGAACACCAGUGGCGAAGGCGACUUUCUGGUCUGUAACUGACGCUGAUGUGCGAAAGCGUGGGGAUCAAACAGG